GACGAACGCUGGCGGCGUGCUUAACACAUGCAAGUCGAACGAAGAGCGAUGGAAGCUUGCUUCUAUCAAUCUUAGUGGCGAACGGGUGAGUAACGCGUAAUCAACCUGCCCUUCAGAGGGGGACAACAGUUGGAAACGACUGCUAAUACCGCAUACGAUCUGACCUCGGCAUCGAGGAUAGAUGAAAGGUAGCCUCUACAUGUAAGCUAUCACUGAAGGAGGGGAUUGCGUCUGAUUAGCUAGUUGGAGGGGUAACGGCCCACCAAGGCGAUGAUCAGUAGCCGGUCUGAGAGGAUGAACGGCCACAUUGGGACUGAGACACGGCCCAGACUCCUACGGGAGGCAGCAGUGGGGAAUCUUCCGCAAUGGACGAAAGUCUGACGGAGCAACGCCGCGUGAGUGAUGACGGCCUUCGGGUUGUAAAGCUCUGUUAAUCGGGACGAAAGGCCUUUUUGCGAAUAGUGAGAAGGAUUGACGGUACCGGAAUAGAAAGCCACGGCUAACUACGUG
rnacentral:rRNA from 1 species